GGCCACCUCUGACUGCAUGGUUCUUUUAAAAAGCAGGAGGAGAAGGCAGGGAGCGGAGAAGCUGGACCAAAGGGUUUGCUUGUUCUGUGAUGAGCGCUGAACACAGAGUCAAGCAUUGGAUUCCAGCCCCACGGCACAACACUAAGUCAGUGUGCACAGCGGCAAGCAUUUUGUCUCUUUGGGCCUCUGUUUCCUUGUUUGCAGAUGAGGGUUUAAGUCCCCAUCAUAGGUGUCAUUAGAUGUCCUCGUGUGGUUUUAGUUGCUAGAAUGAUAGACUUGAAACGGUGUGGUUUAUAAAGAAAAGAGGUUUAUUUGGCUUGCUCGCAGUUCCGGAGGCUGGAACGGAAGAGCGGAAGGACACGGCACUGGUGAGAAGGUGAGGGACCUUCCUGCUGUGUCACAAGGUGCUGGAGGACAUCACACAGUGACAUGUUUAUCCCUGGCUUUUCUUAUGAAACCACCAGCCCCACAAUGGGCUCCCAGUCUGUUGACCUCAUCUGAUCCUAAUCACCUUCCCACCGACCACUUCUAAACACCAUCAUGUAAACUGAAGAUUCUGUUUCCGACAGUUGAAGACUAGAGGCCAUGGCAGAGAGCUUCUAGAAGAUUCUUGACAGUGACUACCAACUUUCUAUUGGGUGUUUUUUUCAUCCAGAGGUUCCAGAAAUGCCUCCUCUAUGAUCCUGUCCCUCCUUGAAGUGACAUCUCAUAUUGACUCACGGAUGAGGGGUGAUUAACAACCAAA
rnacentral:lncRNA from 1 species